rnacentral:rRNA from 1 species
GGCCCAGAUCGUUUACCGUGAAAAAAUUAGAGUGUUCAAAGCAGGCAGAUCCAAUUUUCUGCCACCGAAUACAUUAGCAUGGGAUAAUGGAAUAGGACCCUGUCCUCCUAUUUUCAGUUGGUUUUGGCAGCGCGAGGACUAGGGUAAUGAUUAAUAGGGAUAGUUGGGGGCAUUAAUAUUUAAUUGUCAGAGGUGAAAUUCUUGGAUUUAUGAAAGAUUAACUUCUGCGAAAGCAUCUGCCAAGGAUGUUUUCAUUAAUCAAGAACGAAAGUUAGGGGAUCGAAGACGAUCAGAUACCGUCGUAGUCUUAACCAUAAACGAUGCCGACCAGCGAUUAGGAGACGUUGAAUACAAAACACCACCAUCGGCGCGGUCGUCCCUGGCUCGUCGUCUCACGACGGCGGGCGGGGGCGGCUUAGCCCGAUGGCACCGGUGAAUGACUCCCCUAGCAGCUUGUGAGA